AAAAAGACAAACCAUGGGUUUCUGUAUCUAACUUUGACUAUUCGUCUUAUAUGAAAUAUUUUUAUAAUUCGUACUUUUCAUUGUUGCAUUGUUGCUAGAUGAUAAAACAUGAUUAAUAUUUUAUACGUGACUUGUCUUUUUAAUUUUUUUCAUAAUUUUUUCAAAUAAGACGGACGGUCAAAUGUUGGGCACGGAAACCAGAGUUUGUCUUUUUU
rfam:Oryza rufipogon genomic scaffold, chr05